rnacentral:rRNA from 1 species
AUGAUGAACUUUGUGCGUGCCCAGAUCAAGAAAGCAGCUGAUGAGAUCGAGACUAUUCUGGAAACAACCCCGGCUGGCAAAAGCGAUGGGGAAGGUGCACUUCGAGCAUUCAUUAAGGUUCACAUCUCCUUCAAACUAGCACUUAAUAUUUGUUGCUAUGUUCCAUGUCUCAUUCACUUGUACAUGUUGCAGCGCCAGGGCCAAAAGUUAAGGCGGCUAUCAAACCUUUUCGGUUGUCGUGACCCCGAGUAUGUAUCACCAGAACGGUCUAGGUCGGCGACACCAUCAGAUCCCGCUUCGGGGCAGGGCCAUGGUGAACCUUUCGAGGAUGAGGAUGUGGGUGUGGUCACCCAAGAGGUUGCUGAUGAUAUGACCAUGGGGACGUACCAGGCUCGGUCUGCAUACGAGUUGAAGCCUAGGAAGGGAAUCAACAAGUACACACCUGAAGACUUCACCCAAAGAGGCCAAAGAGGCAAAAGGACGGUCGGCACCUCGCGGAUGGCGGCUUUGGAUGACUAUUUGGAUGACUAUGUAGAUGACGUGGAGGAACCGGAGCCGGAGCCGGAGCGGGUUCCUCUUCCUAGGAAGGUGAAGAAGAUAAGCGUCAAGAGGGGGGGAGGAGCCAGCAAGCGCGGAAAGCACCAGUCAUCGUCCUUUAUUUAUAAUGUUGAACUUAGAGUGGAAUUUGUUAUGUCGUUGAACUUGGAGUGGUGGUAG